GGCUUGUUAGCUCAAUUGGUAGAGCACUGCACUUGUAUGGCAGAGGUCAGUGGUUCGAGUCCCAUACAGGCCU
rnacentral:tRNA from 1 species